rnacentral:rRNA from 1 species
CCUACGGGAGGCUGCAGUGGGGGAUAUUGCACAAUGGGGGGAACCCUGAUGCAGCGACGCCGCGUGGGGGAAGAAGCGCUUCGGCUCGUAAAGCUCUGUCAGCAGGGAAGAACAUGACCGUUGCUGAAGAAGCAGGCCCCGCCAACGACGUGCCAGGAGCCGCGGGAAUACGUAGGGGGCGAACGUUAGCCGGAAUUACUGGGUGUAAAGGGGGCGCAGGCGGGAAGGCAAGCCAGGAGUGAAAGCCCAGGGCCCAACCUCGGGACUGCACUUGGAACUGGGUGGCUGGAGUGCAGGAGGGGCAGGCGGAAUUCCUGGUGUAGCGGUGAAAUGCGUAGAUAUCAGGAGGAACACCGGUGGCGAAGGCGGCCUGCUGGACUGUAACUGACGCUGAGGCGCGAAAGCGUGGGGAGCAAACAGGAUUAGAUACCCCGGUAGUC